UAGUCAGCCAGUUAAUCUGUUUACCUGAAUGUUUCUGCAGACAUUUAGAAAAAGCUUGCAGUGGUGAUGCUACAUUACAAACUUUAAAGAUAGCUCAAGUCUUUAAGAUACCUAAAAAUGGCCGGGCGG